rnacentral:tRNA from 2 species
GGGGGUGUAGCUCAGCUGGGAGAGCGCCUGCUUUGCAAGCAGGAGGUCGUCGGUUCGAGCCCGAUCACCUCCA